ensembl:lncRNA
CCUCUCUCCACGCACAAAGCCGACAUCCAACUUUGGUAACUUAGUCGGCUCCCGCCCAGCCGGCCCCCGCAGCACCGUCACGUUGAAAACAUGUUGAUACCAGGAACUCAAUUUCCAAGGCGGUGCAAGCGUUCGAAAGCACAAAGGCAGACACACUGUCGACCCGCGCGCUAGCUAGCAAGUUGCGAUACUCCGGGGCGGCGGCGCGGAGCCUGCGUCCAGGAGGCGCGGACUCUUAUUUUCCAGCCCAGUCCCUCUGGGGGGCGGGAGAGGAAGCACACAUCGUAUUUCCAUAAAGAGGGGCGGCGGAGGAGAAGUGGAAAGAGGUCAAAAAGGAGCCAAACUGCAUCUCUCCCCCACCCCCCAACUCGGCGCCCCCAGCGCCGGUUCAGACGGCGGAGGGGUUUCAAGAGGACAGUGGAUGGUAUGUGGAUGAUGGCAAUGACUGGAUUGUGAACCACAUAUGGAAAAGCCAUAAUCCAUGGCUUUGAUGUCAAGAAGCCACAGCCCACCAAUCCAAUGAUGUCAGCAUGAUGGAAAAAAAGGAUGAGAGAAGAAGAACCUGGAACAAGGGAGAAGGGAGGAAGAAGGAUGGAGAUCAGGAACAUGGCCAACUUGUGUUCUCACUUGUAAUUAGGGAGUAAAGGCUUGCCUUCAUAAGCUUGCAUGUCAUAUUUAACUGGUGCCUUCCUAUAACAUCUUGACUUAAUAAAGAGGCUAGCAAAAGGAAAAGAGAAGAAAAAUGAAAGAAAAAAAUCCGCAGCAGGACAAUAAAAAGUUUCCUCUUCACACCCACCGCCGUGGGGGUUUUUCCUUUGUGCCUCAGGGCUUAUCCCACUGAAACGCAUCAAUUUUUGCUUUUAUGCUGGAAAUGCCCAAAAAACAUUUGAAGCUUCCCAGCCACCCCUUGAGGGUGAGAACGUUUCACAAUGUGUCUCCAGGGAAGGCUAGGGGGCCAGCGUCGGGUAGAGAGGAGGCUUUCUCCCCUUCACAGGGGAACAAAGGACAGAACCUCAGAGUUCUUGACCCAAUGUGUGACCUCGGGCCCAAGGCAAAACAUUUUAUCUCUGGGUCCUAGUGACAUAAGCUCUCUGGGCUCUGUGAUUGUGCUCUAGGAUGUGACCAAAAACCUUUGAUGGAAUUACUGCCUCCUCUCUCUCUCUGCCUGGCCAUUUAUUAUUCUGUAUAUUUUCGAGAGCUGUGGGAAACUUUCAUAACCAAAGCCUAAGCCAGGCGAAAACUUGUUCUAUUUGGAAUUUGUAAUGAAGUCAAAACAUGGCCUGGAUUUUCUGAAAGGCUCCUUUGGCUGCCUGCGACAGCCCCAGGGCACAAUCAGACAGGGAUGGAGCAGGCCUGGGAGCAGAUUUCGUUACCAAGAAUAGGACACAACAAUAUUUGCCUCCAAAACACCACGGCUGCUAUUUACCUUCUCAGCUGGAAGAAGUGAGAGAUAAAUGCAGAUUUCAUAUAAAGUGCAAAUACCAAUUCCUUGAUUUCUAAUUUGGGGGAUUUUCCCCCCUCUCUAAGCUUCCUCUAAACAAAAGGUUAGGGAGAGUUUUUAGCAUAUUUGAUUUCCUGACCUAAGGGAAGAAAUUCUUUAUUUCAGAACUUUUGACCCCCAAAGAGCUCUUACUUUUGCUUGAAAGCCUGAAUAAAAAUGGUUAGACGUGUAAAGCGAUUGUGGGUUUUGCUAGUGCUUUCUUUUGUGCACUAUGCCUGUUGGGGUGUUGGUCUGCAGGGAAAUCCUAUGAGAAAAACAAGUUUUCUCCUGGUUUGGAUGGAAAACUUUGCCUACUUUUCAGAAGCUCUCGCAAAUUAUUUACUGGCUCAAACCUGAUUCCUCCAGAGGAGCCUCGGUCCCUCACAAAAGUGCUAAGUGGUAAGAUGUAGUUCCUAAUUUUUAUUUAAGUCAAAGGUUAAUAGUAUGAGGGGGUUUGUACCUUCACUGUUUCAAGUUAAUAUUUAUUUUUUCACCGUCGUUUAAAGACUUUCCUACGGCCCUUAUUUCACUGCUGAAAGCAGAGUAAGAGAACUCAGAUUUCAUGCCCCCAGGCUUGAAUAAAGGAAUAAAAACAGCACAACAUUUGCAUCUAUUUAGCAAUCUCAGUUCUAAG